GGUUAAGGUAGUGAUGCGACAACUGCAAACAUUCAAACCAGCGCAGCACCUUUAUGAAACGAACUGAAGAUGCUGAGAACCACUAUGACGUCUCCACCAGCGUGUCAUGGAGUACUGAUGGCCAUGCAGAAACAUGGUCAUUCGGGAAAACCAAGUUUUUGCGAAACAAAAUGUGCAGCAACUUCGCAGACGCCUUCCAAGAAAGCCCUAAUGCCUGGCUUCAAGACAGAAGUCACAGCGCUCCUAUUCACAGCCACACGGGGAAAUGAAGGUGUCGCUGAGGCCCCUUGCCUCAGCACUAUGGUGAUGGGAAAAUAAACAACGACGUACCGCUCGAAAAAGCAGACGGUUGUAUACUACAUUUCUUUGGACAAGAUGACGUAGAGAA